AGUGAACGCUGGCGGCGUGCCUAAUACAUGCAAGUCGAACGGAAUUUAAAAGAGCUUGCUCUUUUAAAUUUAGUGGCGCACGGGUGAGUAAUAUAUAGCUAAUCUGCCCUUUGCUGGAGGACAACAGUUAGAAAUGACUGCUAAUACUCCAUACUCCUUUUUACCAUAAGAUAAAUCGGGAAAGAAUUUCGGCAAGGGAUGAGACUAUAUCGUAUCAGCUAGUCGGUGGGGUAACGGCCUACCGAGGCUAUGACGCGUAACUGGUCUGAGAGGAUGAUCAGUCACAUUGGAACUGAGACACGGUCCAAACUCCUACGGGAGGCAGCAGUAGGGAAUAUUGCGCAAUGGGGGAAACCCUGACGCAGCAACGCCGCGUGGAGGAUGACACUUUUCGGAGCGUAAACUCCUUUUGUUAGGGAAGAAUAAUGACGGACCAACGAAAAGCACCGCAUCC
rnacentral:rRNA from 1 species